CUAUACUAUCUCAUGCACCCAGGCACAACUUUUCCAGAUUUAAAGAAAAAGAAAAAAGAAAUAAAAGAAAAAAACCUCUGUCUCUACACCUCCAUUCCCAGGGAGAGCUCCCUCUCUGGCACCAAGCUCCCUGGGGUGAGUUUUCUUUUUGAAGAGUCCAGGGGAACAGCCUGCGACGGGUCCUUCUUCCUGGACACUCACGACGCGGACCCAGUUCUCACUCCCACUGAGUGUCGGGUUUCUAGGGAAGCCAAUCAGCGUCGCGCGGCCCCGGUUCUAAAGUCCCCACGCACCCACCGGGACUCGGAGUCUCCCCAGACGCCGACGAUGGGGUCAUGGCGCCCCGAACCCUCCUCCUGCUGCUCUCGGGGACCCUGGCCCUGGCCGAGACCUGGGCGGGCUCCCACUCCAUGAGGUAUUUCAGCACCGCGGUUUCCUGGCCGGGCCGCGGGGAGCCCAGCUUCAUUGCCGUGGGCUACGUGGACGACACGCAGGUCGUGCGGGUCGACAGUGACGCCGUGAGUCUGAGGAUGAAGACGCGGGCGCGGUGGGUGGAGCAGGAGGGGCCGGAGUAUUGGGACCUACAGACACUGGGCGCCAAGGCCCAGGCACAGACUGACCGAGUGAACCUGCGGACCCUGCUCCGCUACUACAACCAGAGCGAGGCGGACCCCCCCAAGACACACGUGACCCACCACCCUGUCUCUGAACAUGAGGCAUAACGAGGUGCUGGGUUCUGGGCUUCUACCCUGCGGAGAUCACAUUGACCUGGCAGCGGGAUGGGGAGGACCAGACCCAGGACAUGGAGCUCGUGGAGACCAGGCCCACAGGGGAUGGAACCUUCCAGAAGUGGGCGGUUGUGGUAGUGCCUUCUGGAGAGGAACAGAGAUACACAUGCCAUGUGCAGCACAAGGGGCUGCCCAAGCCCCUCAUCCUGAGAUGGGUCACACAUUUCUGGAAACUUCUCGAGGGUCCAAGACUAGGAGCUUCCUCUAGGACCUCAUGGCCCUGCUACCUUCCUGGCCUCUCACAGGACGUUUUCUUCCCGCAGAUAGAAAAGGAGGGAGCUACUCUCAGGCUGCAAGCAGCCAAAGUGCCCAGGGCUCUGAUGUGUCUCUCACGGCUUGUAAAGUGUGAGACAGCUGCCUUGUGUGGGACUGAGAGGCAAGAUUUGUUCAUGCCUUCCCUUUGUGACUUCAAGAACCCUGACUUCUCUUUCUGCAAAGGCAUCUGAAUGUGUCUGUGUCCCUAUAGGCAUAAUGUGAGGUGGUGGGGAGACCAGCCCACACCCGUGUCCACCAUGACCCUGUUCCCCACACUGACCUACAUUCCUUCCCCGAUCACCUUUCCUGUUCCAGAGAAGUGGUGCUGGGAUGUCUCCAUCUCUGUCUCAACUUCAUGGUGCACUGAGCUGUAACUUCUUACUUCCCUAUUAAAAUUAGAAUCUGAGUAUAAAUUUACUUUUUUCAAAUUAUUUCCAUGACGGGUUGAUGGGUUAAUUAAAGGAGAAGAUUCCUAAAAUUUGAGAGACAAAAUAAAUGGAAGACAUGAGAA
rnacentral:lncRNA from 1 species